UCUGCACCCUCCUUUGUCUUAAAUAUAGGGGGAAGGGUAGCAACCUUUAUGUAUGUAGUAGCAUAAAAUCCAUCCUUGGCAGCUGUACUGGAUUGCUUUACCUGUAAGGGGUUAAGCAGUUCAAAUAACCUAGUUGGCACCUGACCAGAAGGAUCCAUGAGGAAAGAAGAUGCUUUCAAAUCUGUGG